CACUAAUUUUUCUCUAGGGACUCGCAGCUUGCAAAAUCUAAUCAGGAUGCAAUGAGAAACAUAUUAAUCGUAUUUUCCAAGUUAAAUUCGGGCAUAAGAUAUGUUCAAGGAAUGAAUGAAAUCUUGGCACCUCUAUUUUAUGUAUUCAAGAAUGACCCUGAUGCGGAAAUGGCGAUUACAGCUUUUGAAAAACAAUAUGGUAAUGUUCAUUUAUCAUUAUUGUUAUCAACUUGGCAGA